AAAUGCGAAAUAACUUAGACACCCAUUUUGUAAAUAAUAAAGUGCAUGAAAGCUUAAGCUUCUGACGCAAUGCUUUCCACUCACUAAUAAUCACCUUAUUGCUUCAGCAAUGGAACUGGGCCGAAAAAGCCAGGGAAUCUCACAUACCUCUAUGAUGUGAUUCGGCAAGAAAAGCACUAUACGGAGGUUAACACUACACUCAUAAAUGAAACACGUAACUAUUCUCACGGAGAAUACGCCGUCCAGUACGCAGAUAAUAGUUGUAUGGUUAUAGAGUUUCCAAAGCGCACCUACUUCACCAGGAGACCUAACUGCGCAUUGUGGGUGCUCAAUACGACACUUGAUUCACCGAACCUGUACAGACACUGCGUGUACAUUAUGUUUGCCGUUUGUAAAGCUCCUAUGUAUAAUAUUUAUGAGUACGAAAAGGAAAAUUGCUCACAAUGGGGCGAACCUACCGAGGGAAAAAGUAUUAACGCUGAUAAUAAAUUGGACGGAUGUUAACGCCAGAU